CACAGAUGAGGGAAGGCCUUUCAACUAAGAAGGAAAUAAGCAGAAGAAAAGAGGCCUUCAUUUGUGGGCACCUGACAAGCUAAAUCCUGUUUCUCUUACUAAGGAGUUGGUUUUAGAAUCAGAGUAUGACCUAAACCCAUAAAACUGAACAAAGGAAGAGAAGCGCUGCUUCACAAUGGAGUUCUGAUAAAUAGAAAGGAUGCCUGGGGACUAUUUGAUGCUUUCACACAACGGGGAGGUAGUAAUGUAUGAAACCUCUUUGGCAGGAAAAUGUCCUUAUUGCUGACCACAUAUUCUUAUAGAAUGGCAACUGCCCAGAUGUACUAAACAACGAAAGGUGUCCAGAUGUUACCUCCCAAACAGUGAGCCUUUAUUAAUGGUGGAAGCAAAAAGCCUCAAGACACUUACUGGAAAAGGAAACUUGCAGAAAAAGAAGCUGUCAGAUGAGAAGCACAGACAAGCAGUGAGGAGAGAUGAAUGGAAGUGGAAUCAGGAGCUGCUGAAACCAUACAGUCGACAAAGCAGAUAAAUGGCCAAAUUCACCGUGGAAAUGCAUUGCCCAGGCGAUUCCAGUGUGUCUUUGCAGACAAUUUUGCCAUUCUCUGGACUUCUGUGCAGCAGCGACGGAACACUACAUCAGAAUCUACUUCUACCUACGGCAUCAAAGCACACACACAAUUGUAAAGGAACCGAGUUCAAGACAUGUGUCUGUAGUGCCCAUCCAAGGUCCACGUGAGGGAUACUAAAAUACACAUUGAGAGUGUGAAAGCAGCACCAGUCGAUGUGCCCUUUGUAUCAUACCCUCUUCACCCUCCAUCCAGGAACAUCACAUUAAAGUGCUGCAGAAAAGAUGACCCAUAGAAUGAUCCCACUGGAUUUACCUGUGAGGACCAUGGGUCUUCUCCAAGUCAUGAGGGAGCCCUUCUCCACUCGGGCCCAGUUCUUCAAAAAGCCUUAUUGCUGACUAAAGAUUUCUCCGGAAACGUGUGUGUAUGCACAAGAGAGAAAACUGAAAGCUACACGGCACAUGUGGGGAAAUGGAAUGGUGCCCUUGGUGUUCAGACCCAACUGUUCCCAAAGUGACUACUUCUUCUUUUCUCUCCACGUGCUUCAGACGCAAACACCCCUCUUGAGUAAAUUUGCUAGGCACAGCCCCACAGGAAGGCAAGUUUUCUGUUUACUUGUGUCAAAUUAACAGGGGCUGUUUCGUCUGGAUUCUGAAGUCUUCAAACAAUACUGAGCAGCUAGAACAACGGCCCGGCUUGGCCAGUAGGAGAUCAUUCUCCGUGCCUCCGCCCUGCCUUAUCCCUUCAGCUGGGGACUCAGUGUGGUGGGCAGGGAACCCCUUUUGGAAAGAUAUUUCAAUAAUUAUGCUGCAAUCCUUAGCCGCUGAUUCAGCUUAGGAAGCAGGCUUUGUUGUAUUUUUGCUGGGGGCCUUUGCCUGAUGCUUAUACAGGCUACUCAUUUUGUUCCCGAUGAUGAAAGGAAUUCAAAUUUAACCCAGAAAACUUCGAUAAUAAGAACAAAAUUCAAAAGCAAACCUGUACUCUUACCAUCAGACAUAAUUUAUAUUCAUAGUGUUUUGAUGAAUAUUCUUCUGGUCAUUUUCAAAAAGAGUGUAGGGCUCAUGGGAGUGGUUGGGAUGAAAAAGGGGUUGGGGGGAAGCCAGGCAUACUUGUCAAAAGGCUUUGUAGCUUCUUCCUUCUGUCUUUUAGUGUAUUGUGAGCAUUUUGCCAUGGCAAUAAACAGUGUAGUAGUGUUUCUCAACCAGGGACAAUUUUCAUACUUAGGGGACAUUUGGUAAUGUCCAAAGUGUUUCUGUUACUCAUAUUUAUUAUGGAUAUUGCUAAAUACCCUACAGUGCAAGAGCAGUCCCCAUAAUAAAAACUGAUGCAGCCCAACAUGUCAAUAAUGCUAAGGUUGAGAUCCUCUCUCUGUAACAUUAUUUUAAAUAGCUACCUAUUAUUCUAUCCGAGGGGGAGAUUUUCCACUGUGGAAAAUUUAGCUUAUUUCCAAAUGUUUUGCUAUAACGUACAGUCUGUAGAAUAUUCUGUCACACAGUUUUGUACAAACUUCUGCUGCGGCAGAAAGUGAAAUGAUGUGACCAGAAUUUACAUAAAGGCAUUUAUCAGGCACAAAUCUACACUAACAGAUUAAGAGACACUGAUAGGAAUCAAGUGCUUAAAUCUAGAGGCCAACAUACAAUAAGUGCUCUGUACAUUUUAGCUGUCAUUAGUUUAGACUUUGAAUAAUCAAGUCCUCCAACUUGGCAAAAUUCUCUUUCUGUUAAUAUUAGCAGCAAGUCCAGAGUAGACAUCUGUGUUUUGUUUUUAGUCACUGAUUAUCAUUUUAGGCUGGAUAGCUGUCUUUGGUCAGAGAUUGCUUUGUGAACCUUAGACUCAGGUCACCAAUGCAAUGUGUACAGCUGAGACUGAAAAAUGUUGGUAAUAAAACAGCUUUUGAGAAAUGGCAUUCUCCUGUGGCAGCAUAUCACACAUUUUUUCCAAUAAAAAAGAAUAUAUGUUUGAUUUCUCU